UACGAAGGGGGCUAGCGUUGUUCGGAAUUACUGGGCGUAAAGCGCACGUAGGCGGAUUUGUAAGUCCUGUGUGAAAUCCCCCGGCUCAACUGGGGAACUGCACAGGAGACUGCUUGGCUUGAGUUCGGGAGAGGGAAGCGGAAUUCCGGGUGUAGCGGUGAAAUGCGUAGAUAUCCGGAGGAACACCGGUGGCGAAGGCGGCUUCCUGGACCGACACUGACGCUGAGGCGCGAAAGCCAGGGGAGCAAACGGG
rnacentral:rRNA from 1 species